rnacentral:rRNA from 1 species
UACGUAGGGACCAAGCGUUGUCCGGAAUCAUUGGGCGUAAAGAGCGCGCAGGCGGCUUGGUAAGUCGGAUGUGAAAUCCCGAGGCUCAACCUCGGGUCUGCAUCCGAUACUGCCCGGCUAGAGGUAGGUAGGGGAGAUCGGAAUUCCUGGUGUAGCGGUGAAAUGCGCAGAUAUCAGGAGGAACACCGGUGGCGAAGGCGGAUCUCUGGGCCUUACCUGACGCUCAGGCGCGAAAGCUAGGGGAGCGAACUGG